rnacentral:snRNA from 1 species
UACUUGAAGUUUGGGGCAAUGACGUAGCUAGUGAGGUUCAAACCGAGGCGCGUCUAUUACUGGUAGAAAACUAUUUCCAAACCCCCUCUUCGGCGUGAGUUCUGUCUUGGCCAUUGAGAAUUUUUGAAAGGGCUUCCCUUGUGGGUAAAGCC